AACUCCAAAUUGUCCACCAAAGGAAUCCUGGAACAUAAUAGUAAAUUAGAACUAGAUGCCAAGGAAACAAUGAUGUAAUACAACAACCAACUCUGAAAUCUUAACUGAUCUUGCCUUUGAUUUCCGCUAUCACCAAGGGCCAGUCCCUCGAUUUGUCCAGGAACUAGAAAAAGGCAGGGAUCCAAGAAGGCCGUUGCACUAAAAUGCCUAAAACUCCCACAAAGCCAAUACUGAAUCCAGAACCCAAACCGGCUAAAAACCAUUUCCUCAAUUCAUCAUCGUUUUCUUCGUUGUCUUGGCUAUCAUCUUUUCUUGGUCCAACUUGAGGCCUCUCAUCUCCAGGACAUUUUUUGAUCACCGGUUGCCCACAGAUUUCCGAAUUACCAGCAAAACUAGAAGCAUCAAAGCUCUGAAGCUGAGUGCUUGUUGGAAUUCUCCCUGACAAGUUAUUGUAGGAAAGGUCCACCGUACUCAAAAAAUG
rnacentral:misc_RNA from 1 species